rnacentral:rRNA from 1 species
AUUGAACGCUGGCGGCAUGCUUUACACAUGCAAGUCGAACGGUAACAGGCCGCAAGGUGCUGACGAGUGGCGAACGGGUGAGUAAUGCAUCGGAACGUGCCCAGUCGUGGGGGAUAACGCAGCGAAAGCUGCGCUAAUACCGCAUACGAUCUAUGGAUGAAAGCGGGGGACCGUAAGGCCUCGCGCGAUUGGAGCGGCCGACGUCAGAUUAGGUAGUUGGUGGGGUAAAGGCUCACCAAGCCAACGAUCUGUAGCUGGUCUGAGAGGACGACCAGCCACACUGGGACUGAGACGCGGCCCAGACUCCUACGGGAGGCAGCAGUGGGGAAUUUUGGACAAUGGGCGCAAGCCUGACCCAGCAAUGCCGCGUGCAGGAAGAAGGCCUUCGGGUUGUAAACUGCUUUUGUCAGGGAAGAAAUCCUCUAGGUUAAUACCCUUGGGGGGAUGACGGUACCUGAAGAAUAAGCACCGGCUAACUACGUGCCAGCAGCCGCCGUAAGAC